AGGUAAAAAAUCAGCAGAAAAGUCACAUGUAGCGGUUGAAGACGACACUGGUCCUCCUAAAAUUUAUCAGAGCAAAUCAGCUGAUAAAGAUGUGGUAGACGGAGAAAACAUUCAGAAUGUACCCAGAGCAAAGGCAAGUUACACCGACCAGAUUGGAGAGAUGGAUAGAAAAGAUGUGGUAGACGACAUAAACUUUCAGAAUGUACCCAAAGUAAAAGCAAGUUACACCGAUCAGACUGGAGAGAUGGAUAGAAACGAUGUAGUAGAUGAACAGAAUUCGCAGGACACGCCUUCUGAUGAAAAAAGUUAUGUCGACCAGACUGAAGGUCGGACAGAAUAUG